UACGAAGGGGCUAGCGUUGCUCGGAAUCACUGGGCGUAAAGGGUGCGUAGGCGGGUCUUUAAGUCAGGGUGAAAUCCUGGAGCUCAACUCCAGAACUGCCUUUGAUACUGAAGAUCUUGAGUUCGGGAGAGGUGAGUGGAACUGCGAGUGUAGAGUGAAAUUCGUAGAUAUUCGCAAAGAACACCAGUGGCGAAGGCGCUCACUGGCCCGAUACUGACGCUAGGCAC
rnacentral:rRNA from 1 species